rnacentral:rRNA from 1 species
AGUGAACGCUGGCGGUAGGCCUAAUACAUGCAAGUCGAACGGCAGCACAGGAGAGCUUGCUCUCUGGGUGGCGAGUGGCGGACGGGUGAGGAAUACAUCGGAAUCUACUCUGUCGUGGGGGAUAACGUAGGGAAACUUACGCUAAUACCGCAUACGACCUACGGGUGAAAGCAGGGGACCUUCGGGCCUGGCGCGAUUGAAUGAGCCGAUAUGGGAUUAGCUAGUUGGCGGGGUAAAGGCCCACCAAGGCGACGAUCCGUAGCUGGUCUGAGAGGAUGAUCAGCCACACUGGAACUGAGACACGGUCCAGACUCCUACGGGAGGCAGCAGUGGGGAAUAUUGGACAAUGGGCGCAAGCCUGAUCCAGCCAUACCGCGUGGGUGAAGAAGGCCUUCGGGUUGUAAAGCCCUUUUGUUGGGAAAGAAAUCCAGCUGGCUAAUACCCGGUUGGGAUGACGGUACCCAAAGAAUAAGCACCGGCUAACUUCGUGCCAGCCGCCGCCGUAA